rnacentral:lncRNA from 1 species
AAAACUUUAAAACUUUAACCACAGAGUGAAUGUAAUGUUUCCCCGCAGAACAAACUAAGUCCAUGAUUUAUAAGUAAAAACGGAAAAAUGGAAUUUUAUUUUACAAAAUUUACUUCUGGAUACUAUCUUAUGAUCAUAAACAAGCUUCUGUCCAAGGUUGUUAGAAAUCCAGUAUAGUUCAAUGACGACGACGACACCGACG